GUGGUGCUUUGUAGCACAGCCCCAGUUUAACCAUGGCACCCCACAGCCUCCUGGAAGUUGCGGGGUUGGGGUACAAGGGACACCCCGCCAUGAAGGCUGGUGCUCAGCCAAGGCAACGUGGCCACGGCACCUGUCUUUAUGCAAGAGGAUUGAACGUGGAAACAUACUUCUUAGAAGAGAAAACUCUGAAGACUUUAAAAUGAAACUAUCCCUGAGUGGAGCUUCCUUUUUGAGGACGGUGAGCAGGAUCCACACUCGGCGCCCCCCAGGCCAACUGAAGGUGUCUCUGACCCCACCACGGGCUCCUAGGCUGCUGCAGGUCCGUGGAUUAUCUCUGAAAUGACAAGAAACACGCAGGGCUCCACGAGGGCCCUGCACACAGCAGCAUGGCUGUGGCCAUUCUUCCUGCUGCGCCGAGAUGAAGGUCAGUGCUGGGUCACCUGGGUUGAUCUGGAAGAGGUGGAAUCCCGGGCCUCUAGAAAGAUA
rnacentral:lncRNA from 1 species